rnacentral:rRNA from 1 species
AAAGCUUGCUUUUGAUGGGCGUCGACCGGCGCACGGGUGAGUAACGCGUGGGUAACCUGCCUCAUACAGGGGGAUAGCAGUUGGAAACGACUGGUAAAACCGCAUAAGCGCACAGUACCGCAUGGUACAGUGUGAAAAACUCCGGUGGUGUGAGAUGGACCCGCGUCUGAUUAGCUAGUUGGUGAGGUAACGGCUCACCAAGGCGACGAUCAGUAGCCGGUCUGAGAGGAUGAACGGCCACAUUGGGACUGAGAUACGGCCCAGACUCC